AGUGAACGCUGGCGGUAGGCCUAACACAUGCAAGUCGAACGGCAGCACAGUAAGAGCUUGCUCUUACGGGUGGCGAGUGGCGGACGGGUGAGGAAUACAUCGGAAUCUACUUUUUCGUGGGGGAUAACGUAGGGAAACUUACGCUAAUACCGCAUACGACCUACGGGUGAAAGCAGGGGAUCUUCGGACCUUGCGCGAUUGAAUGAGCCGAUGUCGGAUUAGCUAGUUGGCGGGGUAAAGGCCCACCAAGGCGACGAUCCGUAGCUGGUCUGAGAGGAUGAUCGGCCACACUGGAACUUGGACACGGUCCAGACUCCUACGGGAGGCAGCAGUGGGGAAUAUUGGACAAUGGGCGCAAGCCUGAUCCAGCCAUACCGCGUGGGUGAAGAAGGCCUUCGGGUUGUAAAGCCCUUUUGUUGGGAAAGAAAAGCAGCAGGUUAAUACCCCGCUGUUCUGACGGUACCCAAAGAAUAAGCACCGGCUAACUUCGUG
rnacentral:rRNA from 1 species